rnacentral:rRNA from 1 species
GAUGAACGCUAGCGGCAGGCCUAAUACAUGCAAGUCGAGCGGCAAGUCGAGGAGUAAUCUAAGACCUAGAGCGGCGCACGGGUGCGUAACGCGUAUGCAACCUACCUUAUACUGGGGGAUAGCCCGGAGAAAUCUGGAUUAAUACCCCAUGGCACAUAUUGAUGGCAUCUGAGAUAUGUUAAAGAUUUAUUGGUAUAAGAUGGGCAUGCGUCUGAUUAGCUAGUUGGCGGUGUAACGGACCACCAAGGCGACGAUCAGUAGGGGUUCUGAGAGGAAGGUCCCCCACACUGGCACUGAGAUACGGGCCAGACUCCUACGGGAGCAGCAGUAGGGAAUAUUGGGCAAUGGUCGCAAGACUGACCCAGCCAUGCCGCGUGCAGGAAGACGGCCCUCUGGGUUGUAAACUGCUUUUAUCUGGGANAAAAGUCCAUGCGUGGAAAAUUGCCGGUACCAGAUGAAU